CACAAACCUUGUUCUCCAAAGACAGGUCUCCACUGCAGUCACUCUGAUGCCUGCAACUUGUGUAGACACACCUGAACUAGCUUUGAGCUGGUCUGGGUCCCAAUAGCCAUUCAGCUGUGAUAUUUGGCAUAGACUGAGUAUUCAGGUAGCUUCUCCUUUUGGAGCCCUACGUUGUUGCAGCUACACUGCUAGGAAUAUCUUCAGCUUAAAGCUGGAUCAGUCAUGUCUACACAACGCACGGGCUCAGUAACAUGUAGACCUGCCCCGAGCAGACUGCACGCUUCUCUGACCUGUCAUCUCUCAGAGGAGCACAGAGCAGCUUGUACAUGCAAAAAUAAAAAGAAAAGCCAUAUCAAAACAGUGCUGUCUCUAGGGAGAGGAGAAGAGAAAGAACCAACUCCAUGUAAUGAAUGUUAGUGCCGUCACUCAGCACGCCAAUGGAAAGCACUCAGGUCCCUGACUGGCGAGGAACCCAUAAGGACCUGUAUAGGCCAGUAUGGUAUUGUAUAUUAUUUAAUUUUUACACACCAGUUCUAUUGUGUCUGAACAUAUUUUGCAUCUUUUUCCUCCUCCUUUCCUAAAUGGAAUCCCCAACAGAUUGAAGGCUUGGAAGGAAAAGAGAAAGAAAGACAGAAAGAGUGCUCCAAGGAUCUUCCUAAAGUAGCUCUCACCAUUAUAGCAUGCCAGAAGAGAUUACUCUUGUCGAGGACAUCUGCUCGGUCAGUACAUCGUUGAAGCCAGGAUGGAACAGCCAGGGUUGAGGAAUCGGGUCAGCAACUAAGCUCAGAGAUGGACGAUGUUACUAGCAGGGCCAGAAGCCAAAUACAACAGGACAAGGCCCUCCUGUGCAGCUCCUUUCCUUCUUGUCGCCAUAGUGAUGCUGGGAAUGGAGACCCUGCACUCACUGACCUAGAUCGCCAUCGCCUUCUGCACGGCACACCCACCUCGUCCCUCUUCUCAGGACCAUCGAUCCAGCAUAGGCUCCAGUUCGCUGCCCCGCUGGCCCCUCCAGCCUGUCUUCCUAAUUAUCCUCCGAGGCCUUCUGCCCAGCCCUCCGCUUGCUUGGUCUCACUGCGCAGGUAAGUUUUGCUGCCUGUGUUGCUCUUUGGGUUUCCCGUGGCGGGGCAUACUUGCUGCCCCGUCACACAGUUAUUUAGUACUUGCAUAACCAA
rnacentral:lncRNA from 1 species